rnacentral:rRNA from 1 species
UGGGGAAUAUUGGACAAUGGGCGAAAGCCUGAUCCAGCCAUGCCGCGUGAGUGAUGAAGGCCUUAGGGUUGUAAAGCUCUUUCAGUGGGGAAGAUAAUGACGGUACCCACAGAAGAAGCCCCGGCUAACUUCGUGCCAGCAGCCGCGGUAAUACGAAGGGGGCUAGCGUUGUUCGGAGUUACUGGGCGUAAAGGGCGCGUAGGCGGCCACCGUAAGUCGACUGUGAAAUCUCCGGGCUUAACCCGGAAAGGUCAGCCGAUACUGCGGGGCUAGAGUGCAGAAGGGGCAACUGGAAUUCUCGGUGUAGCGGUGAAAUGCGUAGAUAUCGAGAGGAACACCUGCGGCGAAGGCGGGUUGCUGGGCUGACACUGACGCUGAUGCGCGAAAGCUAGGGGAGCGAAC